rnacentral:rRNA from 1 species
CCUAGGGGGGGCUGCAGUGGGGAAUAUUGGACAAUGGGCGAAAGCCUGAUCCAGCCAUGCCGCGUGUGUGAAGAAGGCCUUCGGGUUGUAAAGCACUUUCAGUGGGGAAGAAAGCCUUGGGGCUAAUACCCUCGAGGAAGGACAUCACCCACAGAAGAAGCACCGACUAACUCCGUGCCAGCAGCCGCGGUAAUACGGAGGGUGCGAGCGUUAAUCGGAAUUACUGGGCGUAAAGCGCGCGUAGGCGGUCUGAUAAGCCGGUUGUGAAAGCCCCGGGCUCAACCUGGGAACGGCAUCCGGAACUGUCAGGCUAGAGUGCAGGAGAGGAAGGUAGAAUUCCCGGUGUAGCGGUGAAAUGCGUAGAGAUCGGGAGGAAUACCAGUGGCGAAGGCGGCCUUCUGGACUGACACUGACGCUGAGGUGCGAAAGCGUGGGUAGCAAACAGGAUUAGAUACCCCUGUAGUC